rnacentral:rRNA from 1 species
AUUGAACGCUGGCGGCAUGCCUUACACAUGCAAGUCGAACGGCAGCACGGGAGCAAUCCUGGUGGCGAGUGGCGAACGGGUGAGUAAUAUAUCGGAACGUGCCCAGUCGUGGGGGAUAACGUAGCGAAAGCUACGCUAAUACCGCAUACGAUCUAUGGAUGAAAGCGGGGGAUCGCAAGACCUCGCGCGAUUGGAGCGGCCGAUAUCAGAUUAGCUAGUUGGUGAGGUAAAGGCUCACCAAGGCGACGAUCUGUAGCUGGUCUGAGAGGACGACCAGCCACAAUGGAACUGAGGCCCGGUCCAGACUCCUACGGGAGGCAGCAGUGGGGAAUUUUGGACAAUGGGGGAAACCCUGAUCCAGCCAUGCCGCGUGAGUGAAGAAGGCCUUCGGGUUGUAAAGCUCUUUCGGCCGGGAAGAAAUCGCACAGGCUAAUACUCUGUGUGGAUGACGGUACCGGCAUAAGAAGCACCGGCUAACUACGUGCCAGCAGCCGCGGUAA